rnacentral:rRNA from 1 species
GAUGAACGCUAGCGGCAGGCUUAAUACAUGCAAGUCGAGGGGCAGCGGGAUGUAGCAAUACAUUUCCGGCGACCGGCAAACGGGUGCGGAACACGUACACAACCUUCCUUCAAGCGGGGGAUAUCGCAGAGAAAUUUGGAUUAAUACCCCAUAGGAUGAAUGGAUGGCAUAACCGAAAAGUUAUCGCUCGUGCGGAUAUGGACGGGGGUGCGGCUGAUUAGGUAGUUGGUUGAGGUAACGGAUCACCAAGCCUGAGAUAAGUAACUGGUGUGAGAGCACGACCAGUCAGACGGGGACUGGGACACGGGCCCGACUCCUAGGGGAAGCAGCAGUAAGGAAUAUUGGUCAAUGGACGCAAGUCUGAAACAGCCAUGGCGCGUGAAGGAUGAAGGUCCUCUGGAUUGUAAACUUCUUUUACAGGGGAAGAAAGCCGGAAAUUCUUUUUCGGUUGACGGUACCCUGGAAAUAAGCACCGGCUAACUCUGUGCCAGCCGCCGCCGUAAGAC